GCUUGAUUAGCUCAGUUGGUUAGAGCGAUCGGCUGUUAACCGAUUGGUCACAGGUUCGAGUCCUGUAUCAGCCCCA
rnacentral:tRNA from 2 species